AGCAGUCGCCACGGUAAUACGAAGGGUGCAAGCGUUAAUCGGAAUUACUGGGCGUAAAGCGUGCGUAGGCGGUGAGUUAAGUCUGCUGUGAAAUCCCCGGGCUCAACCUGGGAAUGGCAGUGGAUACUGGCUCGCUAGAGUGUGUCAGAGGAUGGUGGAAUUCCCGGUGUAGCGGUGAAAUGCGUAGAGAUCGGGAGGAACAUCAGUGGCGAAGGCGGCCAUCUGGGACAACACUGACGCUGAGGCACGAAAGCGUGGGGAGCAAACAGAAUUAGAUACCCCUGUAGUCCCUGUCUCUUAUAC
rnacentral:rRNA from 1 species